ACCGUCCGCUCGAGGGGAUCCGAGGUGCUCGAUACAGAGGAGCGGGUGGAUACGGAGGAUGCGCCGACGCGGGCGGUCUGCCUCCAUCCAGAUGACGCACGGGUGGGGAUCAAGCCUAGGCGACGUUCGCGAGGGAUUCUGGCGAGGGAGGGGAUCGGCCCGAGGCCAGGUAUCCAGCCCGGAUCUACGGUGAAAGGCGAAGCGGUGGUGCGGCUAUUCGGUGAAGUUGAUCCGUCGGGUUGAAGGCAAGCAGUCAUCAGUUUCUCUGUAAGCCUUUAUGGCAAUUGAUUUGCUCCAUUCACGGGCAGCGAUCAAUGGAGUACAUUACUAUUUUUCCAACUUGCAACUGCUUCAGUACAUGCGCCUGUAUAUAGAUGUAUGCUUCCUCUCAUGACGCUUCCGUCCCUCAGACCUUCCAGCAGUUAUGAUUUCCGGAUAGCUUUCCCCUCUAUCUAAAACUUUCUUUUCCCUGUCAUGCUCUCUUUUGACCCAAUGAUUCCGUUGUGCUAAUGUCUUUCCAAUAUCAGAUCUGUAUAGGUAAAUUAGUUCGGUGAGCUGCCAUGCCUCAGCUUUUUCUUUCUUCAUUUCCUUGAAUAUGUGUGUUCUCAGCUGAACCGGACAGCACGGUGUGUUGUUAUGUGUCUUCAGUAUUGUUAUGUGUGUUCA